UAGGGAAUUUUGGGCAAUGGGCGAAAGCCUGACCCAGCAACGCCGCGUGUGGGAUGAAGGCCCUCGGGUCGUAAACCACUGUCAGGAGGAAAGAAAAGUCGGCCGGAUAAUACUCGGUCGACCUGAUGGUACCUCCAAAGGAAGCACCGGCUAACUCCGUGCCAGCAGCCGCGGUAAUACGGAGGGUGCAAGCGUUGUUCGGAAUUACUGGGCGUAAAGCGUGCGCAGGCGGUUAUGCAAGACAGAUGUGAAAUCCCCGGGCUCAACCUGGGAACUGCAUUUGUGACUGUAUAGCUAGAGUACGGUAGAGGGGGAUGGAAUUCCGCGUGUAGCAGUGAAAUGCGUAGAUAUGCGGAGGAACACCGAUGGCGAAGGCAAUCCCCUGGGCCAACACUGACGCUCAGGCACGAAAGCGUGGGGAGCAAACAGGAUUAGAUACCCAUGUAGUCCCUGAGCGGGCUGGCAAGGCGCAU
rnacentral:rRNA from 1 species